rfam:Aureobasidium subglaciale EXF-2481 unplaced genomic scaffold scaffold_9, whole genome shotgun sequence.
UCUUCAUUGGUCUAGUGGUCAUGAUUUCCGCUUGUCAAGAGAAAUCUCGUCAAGCGCGGGAGACCAGGGUUCGAUUCCCUGAUGGAGAG